AUUUUAUAUUUGUGCCGGGCAAUCUAACUGGAUGAUAAAUCACAGUACACAGUCAUGAAAAGUUAUUGGUUUUAUACAGUUAGACGCGGUAAAAACGUUGAUCGUGUACUGUACAUACAUUGGUUUAAAUCACCAGGAAAUUCGUAUUUUUUUUAAUUAUUUGAUAAUUUACAUAAAUCAAUGAGGAACUGAAUCCCAUAUUGAUACAUUUACGUUUUAUUUGAAUUUAUCUCAUAUUCGUAACAAAAUCAACAUUUAAACCCUAAUCGGCAGCGAUGACAAUUUCAUCGGAAAUAUCCUCUACUAUUUUGGACUUCCUAGUGGUUGACUGAGUGGAGAUAUUGCCCAUAAGAAAAAUAUCUCAAUAUUUCCUAAGAUCGCGUCAAUUAAGUUGGACUAAUAUUGGAUCUAUCAAAAACGUGAGCAAAUCAAUGAAAUGGGAAACACGGAAGGAGGACCAAAUUCAUUCGGUUCUGUAAGCUUGGGUCUUCUGUCCCAACGGAGUAAUAUUUUCCUCGAUCAAAUUGGAAACACAAAAGCAGGAUUAGUUUCAUCCGUUUCUACUAGUGCAUCCUUUUCUACCUAUUCGGGCCCUCAGUUCAUGUGGAGUAUUAUAUCCCUGUUUGAACUACCGAAUCCUAACCCACCACGACCAGCUACCCCACCACGUGAUCACCUCGGAGAAGAUGCAGGCGGAGGAAGAGGAGUAGUCGGGGGCGGUGGCGUUGGAGGUCCAGGUGGAGGAUAUAAGAUCGAAUAGCUAUCGACUAAAGCGAGUCUGCAGCUCACGUCAUUUCUGUUCCUUUGAUUUGCAUUUCUUACAAAACAUGAAUAGCGAUUUUCAUACAACAUCGUACAUAAUUGCAUUGUAGGAAAAGAGAAAAAAAACUUUAACUUCUAUGAUGUGAAAAUAACUUUGAUUUUUGAAAAUGUUUAUAUGGUCUUAUGACUUUGUUCAUAAUGUAGCCAUCAAAUAUUUAUGCUCCCCCAACCACUCCGAAGGAGCGGUAUAUUGUUUUGCAGAUGUCGGUCAGUCGGUCCUUCAAGAAAUCAAUUUCCGGAUGAAGACUCAAGAACGCUUAGGCCUAGGAUCAUGAAAGUUAACAGUUAGGUUGACCAUAACCAUGAAAUGACCCCUAUUGAUUUUGAAUUCAGUAUGUCUAAGAUCAUGGUCACGGUUAACCAGUACAGUUAAACGGUUUCCGAACGAUAACUUGAGAAUUCUUGUGCUUAGGGUUACGAAACCUUUUAAUUACGUUGGUCAGGACCAGCAAAUUACUCCCUAUUGAUGAUGAGGUCAAAGGUCAAGCUAAUAGUGACCAGGAACAGUUUAACAUUUUCCGGAUGAUAACUCAAGAACGCUUAGGUCUAGGAUUAUGAAAGUUGAUAAGGAGUUUAAUCAUGGGUAUCCAAUGACCACUGUUGACUUAGAGGUCAGUACGUUAAAGGUCAAGGUCAUUGUGACUCAGAACAUUUAAACCGUUUCUGGAAGAUAACUUGAGAAUGGUUGGACCUAGGAUAACGAAACGUAUUAGAUAGGUUAAUCACGACCAGCAGAUGACCCAUGUUGAUUUUGAAGUCAGUAUGUCAAAGGUCAAGGUCACAUACUUUUCUUUGCCAGAUGACUACAAAAUCCUUUGGUCUAAGAUUGCAUAUGAUGCGGAGGUCGCUUAUGACUGGUAAAUGACCCAGAAUCAUAGAUUUGAGGUCAGUACAUCAAACGUCCAGAGCACAGUGACCAAAAAAUUUAUAUUCCUUGCGCAGCUACUGAAUGCAUCAAGGUGGGCAUUUCUUGUUCUGCGAGCUCUUGUUGUUAUAAGCUUAAUCUGUAUUACUUUCUUGUAACUUAUUUUUGUAACUCUUAUCAUAGGACUGAAAAUAUUUUAUUAACUUAGUUGAAAGUAUUACUGAACAUAUUUUCCCCUUUAUGACUCUGACUGUAGACAGAGAAAGUAGUGUUAUUUUUAAACAUGUAACUAUGCAUAUAUGAAAGUAAAAUAGACACAAAACUUCAUAAAACAGUACAGAAGUGAAUUUGCCAUCCAGUAAUAAAAACGGGAAAUGAAGAAACCAUGUUAAAAAUCAGCAUUUGAAUAUGCGGUCUGUGGACAUAGUACUGUAACACGUAAACCACUCUGCUCUAUACGUAUUGGGAAUAAACGGCGAUUAUGUGCUGAAAAAUCUAAGAACCUUGGUCUACCUUUGAGCGGACUUGACAGAUGGGCAAAAUUCAAAACAGUAAAGACGACAUUUCAAAGAACGAGUGAUUGACUUUUUAAUUUAAUGGGCAGUGUUGCAUUUUCCAUUGACUCAAUCAAACCGAGUCUACAAUUUUCACUGUUUGCCUUGUUCUCGAUGCUUCCGAGAGAUGUAGUUUUCAGUUUUUAAUUAAUGUCUAAUAAGUAUGUUGUAAAUAUUUAUUUGCGAGAUUUAUGCCAGAAAUCAGUAAUUAAAUAUCUAUGUGUUAAUGUUAGUCUAUGAAAAUUCGUUGUUCCCUUAAAUCAAAAUGUCAUAUUUACAUUGCUACUGGUCAUUUUCUCCUGGCCCUAGUGCUAGUAGAAGAUGUAUUUGUGUUAAGAUCAAAUUAUAAAUAUGAUUCCGUUAGAAAUCAUUUCGUGACGUCCUGGCCAAUAAGAUUGAAUGAAAAGCUGAAGAACAACAAGCGUGUUUCCUUUUAAAAUUUCCUGAUCCAUGAUAAUCUAGAUCCAGGCUGAAUACCAGUACUGUUAACUCCAACCAAUCAGAUUCUUGGAUUCGAGAAAAACGCCAUUCUCAUCCAGUAAAAAAAAAACAACAAAAAACUUCGGAUUUUGCAGUCAAAAAGUAUUCAUCCGCCGUAUAAAAUGAAGUCCUUUAACGGAUUUAGAAUAAAAGCACAAAUAAUUACGCUGGAAUACUAAGCCAAGAAGAACUAUAAUAAGUUAGUUAAAUUUUACCAUGACGGUUUAGAACUGUAUUUUAUGUCUAUGAGUGCUUUCACACAAUAAAUAGUUUUCACGGACAAAAUGACGUCACGAGUCAACAAUCACAAUUCUGACAUGUAGCCUUCAUAUUCAAAAUCAUAUUAAAGAUGAAUUUCAUUCAUCAUUUCGAGUUUUCUUGUAAAACUGUGAAUAUUUUGCAAUUUGUUUUUGUUUUAUUUACAUUUUGCCUAAUAUGUACACACUGCUGGCUGUGACCUCUAGACCGGAUGUCCAUUUGGGAAGUUCACGUAAGUUUAACGUUGAUAUGUGGAGUAUCUAUGCAAUAUUGAAUAUUGAGACAAUGUGACUGGUGCAUGAUUGAAGAUGAAUUAUCGCACGUUCAGUAUACUAGGUACUCAGCCAUCUAACUGCGCAUUUUAGUUGAGAAAUGUACGAUUGGAAUGGGUUAGUACGUUUUCCCGUUUAUGGCCAUGGUUCUCAUAUAAUACCUAGGGGUAGGGUAUAACAUGUCCAGAGGCAUUUUUUUCUGUUCAUGUGCCAGUGACAAAAACGUGCCAAAAUGUGUCGUUACACACAUCCUAUAUUGUUGUAAGUGGAAAUAUGGGCAGCAUAGUUAAGCAUAGAUACACUACUGAAUCAUAUUCAAGUCGUUUAAUACCAAGAAAAUUGUAGAAGCGCAUUUGCAAAAUUUUGAUGUGGGGUUGCACCAUUAAUAUUAGAGACUGUGAGAUAUGAAGGAAAACCUGUUGACAAAAGGACGUGUUUCACGUAUAACAAUUGUAUUUAAAAGAACAUGCUUAAUUUUAAUGUGCUCUUUACCGUGAUCUUAGGAAUGAAUCGUUUUCAUGUAUUUUAACGAUCAAUGUAGAUUUUAAUGUUUUAAUAAUUUUGUAAUCCUUGGGACCAGUUAUGUUUCGAUAGUUAAAAUAACUGACAAAAUAUGCUUAGGCCUAGAAGAAUAUGUGUCUUUAUUCUUAAAAUAAUAUUUUGCUGGUGUUUUAUCGUAUUUUAAAUCGUACCUUAGUUAAAGGUCUUUUAAGUAGAUGACAUAUUAAGUACAUCGUAGUGUUUUAUGAAUAAUUUUAUGAUGUGUGUACUUGAAAAUCAAUUUCUUAUAAUUUGUAAUAUUUCUGUACAGUUAUGAUCCCGUGAGAAUUUCUACUUUUACAGUACCAUGGGAAAUACUGCAAAUCAUAAGAAAUUUAUAUUAUAGUACACUCUAUUUAAAUUGCUAAUGACUUCUGGAUGUUUAUUUUUUUAUUUUGUAUUGAGGAAAGCGAGACUCCUGUCACUGACAUUGUUAUCGUCAUGCAUAUAUUCUCUUUAUAAAGUUUUCUUUUAUGUUUUCCCAUAAAAAUUAAAGGCUUACAGAGUA